CAGUCGCCGCGGUAAUACGUAGGUGGCAAGCGUUGUCCGGAAUUAUUGGGCGUAAAGGGCUCGCAGGCGGUUUCUUAAGUCUGAUGUGAAAGCCCCCGGCUCAACCGGGGAGGGUCAUUGGAAACUGGGAAACUUGAGUGCAGAAGAGGAGAGUGGAAUUCCACGUGUAGCGGUGAAAUGCGUAGAGAUGUGGAGGAACACCAGUGGCGAAGGCGACUCUCUGGUCUGUAACUGACGCUGAGGAGCGAAAGCGUGGGGAGCGAACAGGAUUAGAUACCCCAGUAGUCCCUGUCUCUUAUAU
rnacentral:rRNA from 1 species